CGGCUGUGGCGGGCUGCCCGCGGGCCCGGCCCAGCAGCGCGGCCGAGUCGGCCGCCGCCGAGCCUAGGGCUGCGGGCCCGACGCGGGACAGCAGCAGCGCUUCACCCAGGCACCGUGAUAACUAUUCUCUGGACUGAAUCCUGAAUUUGUCUUGUUGGUCAAAUGAUUAAGACAGUUUAUCUUCUUCCCCCCACAGUGCCCCCCACCCUUUUUGGAGAUAUGGGAAAGGGUUAGAGGCCUUGAUGUUUGAAUAGACAAGCUGUAGCACUCGGGAUCUUCAUUUCGGCACGCAGGGUCCUUUAUUGCGGCAUGCAGACUCAGUUGCGGCAUGCGUGUGGAGUCUGGUUCCCGGACCAGGGAUCAAACCCGGGCCCCCUGCAUUGGGAGCAUGGAGUCUUACCCACUGGACCACCAGGGAAGUCCCUAAUCUUGGGAACUGAGUUCACAGUUGAAGGAAGGAGGCCCUAAACUUACAUAAUCAAUGGCGUAAAGGAAACAGGAGAUUUAAAGAAACCAUGAGUGGAGGAUCUCAAGUCCACAUUUUUUGGGGUGCUCCAAUCAGUCCACUGGAAAUGACAGUAUCACAGGAACCAACUUCUUUAGUGUCCACUGCGGACCCCUGGAAAGAAAUUCAGCUUUUGUACAAUCACCAUUCCUUACAUCUGAAGGAUGAAAAAUGCAGGCACAAAAGUCUUGAGGAUUAUCAGGCCCUGGAACCUCUGGACCCUCCAGAUCUUCCUCGUGGUCAUUUUCCAGCAAACUCUGUGAACAGAUUUGUUCACGUGAAAGAUGACUUCACACAUUGCAUUUCUGAAACACAAACUAUAAAAUCCCAGAAGAGUCACCCCUUGGGGUUGAGUGAUAGAACCAACUCCAGUGAUCAAAUAUGUGGAUUUAAGGCUGGAUUUCAACAUUUAACUGAAGAAGAAAAGUAUCAAAAGCUUUUCAGUGAACAUAAGAAAAUCACAGUUGAACAGCCUAAAGAUCAAUCAAAUAUACAUGGUCAGAAUGUUCCAAAAGAUUCCUUUCAGUUAGAUCAUAAGUGUGCAGCUAUAUUGGAUGUGAUCUGUGGUGCUGAACAGACUAAUACGGGGCCAGGAGCUAUGGAAACAAACUGUGCACCAGCAGAGCAUCAUGAAAUACAAAACCAGUGUCAGGAAUUAUUUUCCUCUAGCACAACAGACAAACCAAGGCCUGAAGGAACAGUUAGGAAGGUCUCAGGCCUUAAAAUAUCCACUGAUACUGAAUUUCUCAGUGUAAUGACCUCCAGCCAGGUUGCUUUUUUAUCUCAAAGGAAGUAUAAAGGGCAGAAUUCUAUAAAUAAAGGAACCAUUAAAAUGGAGAUUGAACCAGAGGCAAGUCAUGGGGAAAUAAGAAUAACUGAAGAUAAUUUGAUUCAGCCCAAUGAUGAUUCUACAGAAGGAUAUGAAGGUGGACAGAACCAAGCCUGUUCCCUUGAACUUUUUAGUCCUGAAACAAAAAAUAGCCACAUUCUCUUGAACACCGAUAAAGGUCUUGAAGAAAAUAUAGGAUCUCAAGAACUUUUCCGUUUUGAUGAUAAAUUGACGCCAAAUGAGAUACGCAUUGAGUCAUGUAGCUCAGGAAUACUGUGUUCCCAAUUAAAUACCUUCCACAAAAGUUCUGUUGAAAGAAGUUGGACCUCUGAAGAUAAAUCAGGCCAUCCUCAAGCUCUAUCUGAAGUCCCCCACGUCGCUAAGAAAAGCAAGUUGAUUUCUAAUCAGAGAGAUCAUACUGUAACAGUGCACCAGAGGAAUGUGUCUGGAUUUAAGGGCAUUAAAAAAACAUCGUUAAUAAAAAACUGUGAUUCUGAAAGUCAGAAGUAUAAUUGUUUAGUCAUGGUGUUAUCUCCGUGUCACGUGAAAGAAAUAAACAUAAAAUCUGGACCAAAUUCUGGCUCUAAAGUGCCUUUAGCAACAAUUGUGGUAAUUGACCAAUCAGAAAUUAAGAAGAAGGUUUUUCUGUGGAGGACUGCAGCGUUUUGGGCACUUACAGUGUUUCUUGGAGAUAUAAUUUUACUCACGGAUGUUACUAUUCAUGAGGAUCAUUGGGUUGGUGAGACAGUACUGCAAUCAACAUUUACCAGUCACUUAUUAAAUCUUGGGAGUUAUUCAUCUGUCCAUCCUGAAGAAUAUUCCAGUAUGGUUAGUGAUAUUGUACUUCAAGACUUACUGGCAUAUGUGUCUUCAAAACAUUCCUAUCUCAGAGAUCUUCCUCAGAGGCAGCUUCAGAAAAUGAGCAGUAUAGAAUUUGUAGAAUUGGAGCAGCUUCAGCCAGACGUAUUAGUCCAUGCAGUUCUAAGAGUUGUUGAUAUCACUAUACUGACAGAGGCAUUAUACAGUUAUAGAGGACAGAAGCAAAGGAAAAUUAUGUUAACAGUGGAACAGGCCCAAGGUCAACAUUAUGUGCUUGUAUUAUGGGGUCCUGGAGCAGCCUGGUACCCUCAACUUCAAAGGAGAAAAGAUUAUAUUUGGGAAUUUAAAUAUCUUUUUGUUCAACACAAUUGCAUCCUGGAGAACCUAGAAUUGCAUACGACACCAUGGUCAUCCUGUGAGUGCCUGUUUGAUGAUGAUAUAAGGGCAAUUACAUUUAAAGCAAAAUUUCAAAAAAACACACCGUCCUUUGUGAAGAUGUCAGAUUUAGCGACACACCUAGAGGAUAAGCGUUCAGGAGUGAUUCUAAUCAAAGCCCAGAUUUUAGAGCUAGUGUUUCCCAUUACAGCAUCUCUGAAGAUAGCUCUAAAUGCUCACAGUUCUCUGAAGAUUAUUUUUUCUUCUCUUCCCAAUAUUAUAUAUACUGGCUGUGCAAAAUGUGGAUUGGAACUAGAAACAGAUGAGAACAAGAUCUACAGACAAUGUUUUAGCUGCUUGCCGUUUACCAUGAAGAAAAAAUACUAUAGGCCAGCUUUAAUGACCAUAGUUGACGGAAUAUAUAAGGUUUGCGUCCAUGUAGGAUCAAAGCUGAUAGAGAAGAUUCUUCUCAACAUUUCUCCUGACUGGCUCAACAGAGUUAUAGGCUGUACAACCUCUAUUCGUUGUCAUUUGGUGAAUCCCAGCCUGGAGGGAAGGGCAGGAGUGAUUCUCUUUGAUUCUGGUCCAGCCUUAGUCUUCCACAGGCUCUGCGUGUCUGGGUCUUGGAUGUGGUGCUUUCUCAGUGACCCUGCCCCUCCUGCCAAGUCAGCCACGCUCUGCCUCGUGUCCUUGCUUCUCCCCUUUCCCAGGCCUUCACCAUAGCUGGAAGCUUUCUCUGAUGUCUUGCCCUGCAUCCAGCCUUGUGAGUACCUGGUGAAGAUGAGAAGAGCACGUGCCCCCUUGUCUUUGACGCUGGUCCACGCUUGGCUUUUAGCAGUUCAUUGAAACUUGAAGCACAUUCUUCAUUCUUGCUUGUUUGGUGGACUGUCUUCUUUCUGAGCUCGGCCCCAGCCUUAAUUUAGGAAAAGAUUAAUCUCAGUUCUUCCCUCGAUUGUUUGAAGAAGCCAGGGGCUGUACCAUAACAGGAAACACCAUCAGUCUGAACAGUGCAUUACUUGUGCCUUCUCUCCAGAUCAGCAGGAAUUGUGCCUCAUCAUUCUAGAGUAACCUGUGACUAGAAAGAGAGGGGGUAGAAAGAGACAUUUACAGUGGGUUUGGGACUUGAGAAACCAAGGGAAACAAUGAACCCUUCAAUGUGAGCAUGUCCACACUCCGGGAAGGGAUGCUAAGAGCCCUUCAUGUUUCCUCUUCCUCAGCCCCUCCCUCAGACGUCACCUACAACCUGGUCGCCGCAGACCUGCUCCAUGCCUUGCUGGCGGGCAGUGGGGCACCUUGUGUCCUGAAGGUGCAGAGCCUCUUUGUGUUAGAUGAAAAC